ACUCAAAGGAAUAGACGGGGGCCCGCACAAGCGGAGGAACAUGUGGUUUAAUUCGAUGAUACGCGAGGAACCUUACCCGGGCUCGAACGGCAGAAGAAUAUGGUGGAAACAUUAUAGCCAGCAAUGGCUUCUGUCGAGGUGCUGCAUGGUUGUCGUCAGCUCGUGCCGUGAGGUGUCGGCUUAAGUGCCAUAACGAGCGCAACCCUUACCGCUAGUUACCAUCGGAUAAUGCCGGGAACUCUAACGGGACUGCCACCGUAAGGUGUGAGGAAGGUGGGGAUGACGUCAAAUCAGCACGGCCCUUACGUCCGGGGCUACACACGUGUUACAAUGGGAGAUACAAAGGGUAGCUACUUAGCAAUAAGAUGCAAAUCCCCAAAAUCCCUCCCAGUUCGGAUCGGAGUCUGAAACCCGACUCCGUGAAGCUGGAUUCGCUAGUAAUCGCUCAUCAGCCAUGGAGCGGUGAAUACGUUCCCGGGCCUUGCACACACCGCCCGU
rnacentral:rRNA from 1 species